CCCUUAGAUGUUCUGGGCUGCACGCGCGCUACACUGGUGCGUUCAGCGAGUUUAGCACCUUAACAGAUAUGUUUGGGUAAUCUUCUGAAAACGCACCGUGAUGGGGAUCGAUUAUUGUAAUUAUUAAUCGUCAACGAGGAAUUCCUAGUAAGUGUGAAUCAUCAGUUCGCGCUGAUUACGUCCCUGCCCUUUGUACACACCGCCCGUCGCUGCUACCGAUUGAGUGGUCCGGUGAAUUAUUCGGACUGACGCAGUGCUCAGCUUCUGGACGUUGCGUCGGAAAGUUUCAUGAACCUUAUCACUUAGAGGAAGGAGAAGUCGUAACA
rnacentral:rRNA from 1 species